ACUUUUAAAGGAUAACAG
rnacentral:tRNA from 1 species